GACGAACGCUGGCGGCAGGCUUAACACAUGCAAGUCGAGCGAGCGGCGGACGGGUGGGUAAGGUAUGGGAAACUGCCUGAUGGAGGGGGAUAACUACCGGAAACGGUAGCUAAAACCGCAUACCAUCAGCUGUGCCCAGGUGGGAUGAGCGCGUAGGCGGGGGAAUGGAUCACCUAGGCGACGAUCCCGAACUGGUCUGAGAGGCUGACCAGCCACACUGGAACUGAGACACGGUCCAGACUCCUACGGGAGGCAGCAGUGGGGAAUAUUGGACAAUGGGCGCAAGCCUGAUGCAGCCAUGCCGCGUGUGUGAAGAAGGCCGUCGGGUUGUAAAGCACUUUCAGCGAGGAGGCGUUACUCACAGAAGAAGCACCGGCUAACUCCGUGCCAGCAGCCGCGGUAAUAC
rnacentral:rRNA from 1 species